UACGUAGGGUGCGAGCGUUGUCCGGAAUUACUGGGCGUAAAGAGCUCGUAGGCGGUUCGUCACGUCGGCUGUGAAAUCCCGAGGCUCAACCUCGGGUCUGCAGUCGAUACGGGCGGACUUGAGUACUGCAGGGGAGACUGGAAUUCCUGGUGUAGCGGUGAAAUGCGCAGAUAUCAGGAGGAACACCGGUGGCGAAGGCGGGUCUCUGGGCCGAUACUGACGCUGAGGAGCGAAAGCGUGGGGAGCGAACAGG
rnacentral:rRNA from 1 species